CUACUUUUCGUGGGAAUUUUAGUCCAUUGUCGUCUUUGUCAUCACAGUACAGCUCUUGCUCUCAUUGCGAGCUUCGUUCGCGGCCAUUCUUAGCUUGUUCGGUUGUUUCUCGGCGGAAGAAACGGUGUCGUUUCAGGGAUUUCAAGUUGUACCAUGUUUCAAGGUUUCAUGGAAAGAGAGGGAUUGUUUGUAGAGUUACAGAGACGCG
rnacentral:misc_RNA from 1 species